rnacentral:lncRNA from 1 species
CAUUUUAAUAGCUAUCUAGCUUCCAAAAUUUCAAGUAUCUUGUAGCUAAUCUACAACUUUAAGCUCCAUGACACUCUCUUCUCAUCUCUUGUGAUGUGCACAAGGACUUGCAUGCCAACCACCAAAUAAAGGAGUUCGAAAAGAACACACUUAAAAAGAAUGUCAUGGUAAAAUAGUGAAAACUUUGUCCAUAGUAAGACGAAUAGGUUUCUUAAAACCUUGUCUUAAUAUAAUUCCACAAUUUUUGAAAGAAUUGCCUGGCGACAAGUCAAAUUCUAAGCUUACUGACCGUGAGGCAUAGUCCUUUAUUUUAACAUAUCACCACCCAGUUCCUCCAUUGUCAAGUUGCUUGUAUUAAGAAGCAACCUGCCAGUUUUUGACUAAACAUGCCAUGUCAUUUGAACCAUAUAUCAUCAUAAUGGGCAUGACAUUCAAUUUUCCCUCCUUUAAAAGUUGUGACCACUUCUCACUGUAGAAAAUUUAAAGAUUUUCACCCCUAAAUUGGUUCCAAGAUCUGAUGUUAG